GCGGAUAUGGUCAAAUGGUAAAAU
rnacentral:tRNA from 2 species